GUGCUUGCUUUGGCAGUACAUAUACUAAAACUAGAACAAUAUAGAGAUUAGUAUGGCCCCUGUGCAAUGAUGACAUGCAAAUUCAUGAUGCGUUUCAUCUUUUU
ensembl:snRNA U6 U6 spliceosomal RNA